rnacentral:lncRNA from 1 species
GGGCAAUCCUCACCUCAUAAGCUAGCUUUUAGGGUUAGAGUUAGGCCCAAUGUCCCUUCUUAUCAGCAGUUACACUAACAGAGAAACGAGAAACCACAGCUUCGAUCAAAAUGAACUCGAUGACGAAACUUGAAUUUGAGCACCUCAAACAACUUCCAUAAUUUUGACCACCAGAAACGAAAUCAAAAAUGAAAAAACCAAUUAUUCUUUUUUUAAUUGUCACUUAAACCAACCUAAAAUCUCGCAUAGCAAUUAAUCAAAACUAAACACAAUCUUUUUUUUUUUUUUUGCGUUUUUCUGGACUAAAGUUAAAAAUCCGAAAUAAAAUCAAACACAUCAUGUGAGGGAGAGAGAAUCUGUCAGAAACGGUUACACUAUGGCAAGAGGAAGAAAGUAAAACGCGUGGUGCGAGUUUGGGUUUCACUCGCUUGAAUUUUGGCGAUUUUUGGGAAGG